AAAAUCUCAUGGGCUUAAUAAAUUCAUGUUUUAAAAAUGGGGGUUUUGAAAUUAUGAAUAUAAACAUGUUUUAAGCAUCUUUAUGAUAUUGAUUUGGUCUUUAGGCCUAUUUCUGAAGUGAUUUGAUAUAUUAUAUAUGCAUAUGCUUGUGAUUCAAAAGAUGUUAACUUGAGAGCAUGAAUUAUAUGAAACCCCUCUCUUGAU
rnacentral:lncRNA from 1 species